UAACGGCGAGCGAACCGGAAAGAGCCCAGCUUGAAAAUCGGGGCGUCUUGGCGCCCCGAAUUGUAGUCUGGAGAAGGUCCCUCUGCGACGCGCCGGACCCAAGUUCCCUGGAAAGGGACGUCGGAGAGGGUGACAACCCCGUCGAGUCCGGAGUUCGUCGCUCCACGAGGACCUGUCUGCGAGUCGGACUGUUUGGGAAUGCAGUCCUAAGUGGGAGGUAAAUUCCUUCCAAGGCUAAAUAUUGGCAGGAGACCGAUAGCGAACAAGUACCGCGAGGGAAAGAUGAAAAGGACUUUGAAAAGAGAGUUAAAAGUGCUUGAAAUUGCUGGGAGGGAAGCGAAUGGAAGCUGCGGGUGCACCCCGGUUGGAUGUGGAACGGCUUUGCGCUGGUCCGCCGCUCAACGCGGGGUGCUGGUCAGCGUGGGCUGCCGCGGCGGGACAAGUGCGGGGAAUCGAUUUCCGCCCAUGCCGUUGCGGCGGCCGAGGAACGAAGCGCGCGCCUUGCGAAAGGCGUGGUCUCGGCCAACUGCGCGCUCGGGACGCUGGCGUAUUGAGCUCUUCAUCCGACCCGUCUUGAAACACGGACCAAGGAGUCUAACAUGUAUGCGAGCCGGUGGGCGGCAAACCCAUUGAGGCGCAAGGAACCUGACAGGUGGGAGCCCGUUGAGGGCGCACCAUCGACCGACCGUGAUCUUCUGUGAAAGGUUUGAGUGUGAGCACACAUGUUGGGACCCGAAAGAUGGUGAACUAUGCCUGAGCAGGGCGAAGCCAGAGGAAACUCUGGUGGAGGCUCGUAGCGAUACUGACGUGCAAAUCGUUCGUCAGACUUGGGUAUAGGGGCGAAAGACUAAUCGAACCAUCUAGUAGCUGGUUCCCUCCGAAGUUUCCCUCAGGAUAGCUGGAGCUCGUGUACAAGUUUUAUCAGGUAAAGCGAAUGAUUAGAGGCAUCGGGGGUGUAACACCCUCGACCUAUUCUCAAACUUUAAAUAGGUAAGCCGCCGGGGUUGCUUGGUUGAACCCCGGCACAGAAUGAGAGUCCCAA
rnacentral:rRNA from 1 species